AGCCUGAUUGUAUUGAGAUUAAUUGUGAAUCCAAAAAGUUUGAAUGCUUCCAUAAUUCAAAUCUCUUGAAAUAAACAAUAACAAAUUAAAGAAAUCUAAACCCUAAGAAUGAAAGAAAACUAAAGUAAAUUUUACAAUAAGAAUUUAGGUUAAAAGAAUGGUGUCUUUAACAUGUACCAAAAGAGCUUAUUUAUGGUGCUUGUUGUCCUUAACCCUAGGUCAGCUGACGUUUCUGAGCUUUAAGUUCGAUUGUGUGGACCAAAACGCCUCUACUUCAUGUUUAAUUUCCAUCCCAGAGUUGAUGUCAUGAUACACUAGGACCUGUGUCGCAACACAGUAACUAGUAUGCUCUUCUUUAGCCAUCUGCAAGGGUAUGUUGUGACAUCCUCAGUCUAUGCCGUGACAUCAAAGGUAGACUUGAGUUUUCUUCAUUAUGUUCCCUAUGCUUUGUAAGUGUGCAUGAGAAUAUAGCAUCCCAUUUCAACCAAAAAUGUCUUCUAAUCUUCUCCUGCACACUUACAAAGUACGUUAGCUCUCCUUUAGGCCUCAUUUGGCCUUUAAAGUUAAUAAAAAACUCAAUUUGCACAUUUUAUUGAAUGUAAAUAAAACUAAAGAAACUUAACUAAAAUGUAAUGAAAAUACUUGUAUUCAGGCUCCUUAAGUCUGAAAACUAGUUUAAUCUACUACACCGAAUUAUGGUAGAUCAAACUCCCCCACAUUUAACUCAUUGUUUGUCCUCAAGCAGCGUAAACAUAGAAUUAAAAUAAUAAACAUAGAAUUAAAAUAAACGAUAAAGAAGGUAUGAAAACAAAAAGAAUAGAUUUUGUUGUAAAUAAAUGUAAACCAAAUGAAAAAACAUAAAAUAAAUAAGGAAAAAGGCAAAAUCAUAAUUUUUUUUGUUUGACUUGGAUUCUUUCUUUAAACAAGCUAGAGUUCGUGAACAUGGAUGUAAAAAUGGACCUCACACCUAAACUCCCCUACACUUAACCUUUUGCUUGUCCUCAAGCAAACCAAGUCUUGACACACAUAUGGCAUUAAUGUCUCUAAGACUAUCUAAAAGACUUAUAUCUCAUAUGGCAUCAUCAAACAUUCUUACUUAGGUACUUCUAAUAUAUUAUGCAAUUUAACUAAAUAACUUAAUCAGUUCUCCUUAAAAAUAAUCAAAUUAUCUAAUACCAAUAAAAAAGUUCAUGCUUGACAAAAAUCAUUACAUGCUUCAUUAUUUUCAACCACUAUUCACAUUGUUAAUAUAAUCCAAGCACCAUACAACAAUAAUAAUUUUUUUAAUAAAUAAUCAAAGCAAACACACAAAUGAAAUCAUGCACAAACUAAUCCUAUGUACUUUUCCCCACACUUUAGAACAUACCUUGCCCGUAGUAUAAAAAUAAUUAAACUGCAAAAACAAGAAAACUUCCUUGAAUCGGUUGAAUCAUUGUUGUUAUGAUGAUCUCGGGUUAUGUGCGCUUCAAGUGGACAAAAGAUCACCUAAAAAAAUAGUCUCAGAUGAACUUGGCCCUUUAAAUUUUUGAGGUUAUGUUAUGUUUAGGAUGUUGCGGCAUUAGGGUACGAGGUUGAGACAUCGAGCGCAGUUUCUAGCUACUUCGAUUUCUCUUCUUUUUUUUCUUUCAAUUUUGUCACUUUAUGGUAUCUACACCUACUUUGGGAAAAAACUAAACACACUAAAUAAAAUAAAAUAAGCAAAUAAAAAAAAUUUAAAAAAACAAAAAUAAAAUAAAAUUUAAAAUAGGGAAUAGAAUUUCUUAAAAAAACAGGAUGGUUCGUGUCGCCACAAUAGAAGAACUUCAAAAAAUAGGAUGAUCCGACGAGCUUCCAAAUCGAUUAAGCCUUUGAUAAUCUAUAAAGUACAGGAAAAUAACUACAUAAGCAAUGAAUGCUUAGUAAGCUCGUAUAAACUUUAAACAUAAUAUUCUCUUUCAAUGAUGAACUUUAUAGGAUAAUUAUAAACCUAUACCAAUGUCAUAAGAUUUAUAAAACUACAUAGCCAUCAACUCACAAAUAAGUAAAUCCUUCAACAUCACAUAUACUUUUCAUUCAUACCAUAAUAAGAUUUUAUAAGUUGUAUUACAUAAUCAUCAACAUUUUCUUAAGACGAUGAAUCAUUCCAUUUACUUACUUUUCAUUCCAUUUACUUAUCAUAAGUUUAAAUAACAUUAUCAAUUCACGAAUUAGUGUCUUUAUUCAUGACAUAGGUAAAUCCAUCCAUAACAUAAGUAAAUUUCUCACAUAUAAGUAAGUCCUUUAACUCUUCAAUCCUUUUAUAUCAUCAUAUUACAUAUCAAUUAUGAACUUACCAUUUCAUUGCCUUUUCUUACCUGUAUCAUUUGCAUAAUAAAAGACAUAAGCAUAAACAUCAACCAAUUAUACAAGCUUGACACAAGCCUGAUAUCAACAUCAAUACAUAUGUUAGUGCACUUAUACAUAACUCUUUUCGGAUCAACUACAUGAUAAACCAUUUCAUAAGAAAAUAAAUCUCUUGAUUCAUACUACCUUUUCAUGAACAUAAGCAUAUUUCCAUUUGGACACUUACCAUUUCAAUGCAUAACCUUAUAAUUUAAAGACGGUUCAAUCCAACAUAACCUUAACACAAGCCUAAGCAUCAUCAACAACAUAUGUUAGUGCAUUAUCACAUAACUCAAUUGAAUUACCACAUGAUAAGCUAGAUUUACAUGAACAUAACGCCUUUGAGUUCAUAAUUUCCAUAAACAUAGAUAUACAUUCAUUGACCAUUAUCAUUUCAUACAUUUCCAUGGACUUGUAACAUAGUCCAUCGGAACACUUGCCAUUCCUUUCCUUUUUAGGCCUGUUGAACCACUUAAAAUAACAUCAGAUACGCAGGAAAGCUCACACAAAGUGUGCUAAACGUAUGGUCAUAGCCAUUCCUUUUCCUUUACAUCGUUGCUCACUUGAUCCAUAAAAUGGGUUUGCUCACACAAGUUGACGGUCAGAAUGUAAGCUACACGAUACUACUCACACAAGCUGACGAGUAUUCAUAACAAAUGCUAGAACUCAGCCAUUGGUAGGACAUUCAGAACCAACACUCAAAACAUGGUAACCUAAGUCUGCUCACACAAGCUGACAGUCGAAAUGUAGCUAUAGGAUGUUGCUCACACAAGCUGACAGUCGAAAUGUAGCUAUAGGAUGUUGGACCUCAAUCAUUGGUAGGACAUUCAAAACCAACACCCGAAAAAUGGUAACCCUAAUGACAUGUCAUUUGUAUCUUACGAAUUCCUAAGGUUCAAACAAGGCUUAAUAUUCGUCAAUUCAUCAUAAUAUGAAUACAUUCACAUUUAUAUUGAUUCAUUUAUAGUGAAAACAACAUAGAAAACAUUUAAUUUAAUCAACAUUAUAAUACUUACAGUUCAUACAAACUUACCUAGCUAAAUUGCAAAAAUGUCAAAGUAUAAGGGCUAAUUGGUAAUUUUCCCUUCUCUUCGAUUUUCCACUCGUUCUUUAUCUAAAUUAAUAAUUUCAUUCAACUCAUUAAUUUAGAUAGUAAAAAAAUUUACUUUAUGCAAUUUAGUUAUUUUUGACACUUUUACAAAAUUACCAUCAAAUUUUCAUUUUUAUUCAAUUUAGUCCAUAUGUCUUAAUCAUGCAAAUAAACAAGUUUUAUUGAUAUUUCAUACCAGCCGAAUGUUAAUAGCAUCCAUUACAGCCUACAUUUGUAACAAUUUCACACCAAGUCAUUCUAUUUUUACUAUUUCAACAAUUUAAUGCGUAAUCGAUAAAUUCAUCAAAAAUCACUUAACAAAAUUCUUAUAAAUAACAACUAAUACUUCAAACUCAUCAUUUAACAAUCACAAAGAUUCAUCAAUGGUAGAAUUCAAAAUCUUUAACAGUUUCAAAAACGAAGGCAUGGGCUAGUUGGACCUAGUUGCAACGAUCUCAAUAACAUAAAAAUUAUUAGAAAUGAGACCAAAAUGACAUACCAUGCUACCAUUUGAACUUCUCGAACCUCAAAGCUUAAAAAUGGCUUCUUCCCCCUUAACCAUUCGGUGAUGAAGACUUU
rnacentral:lncRNA from 1 species